ACAAUGGUACUUCUGCAUAGCGAUACUUUCAAAACAUCGGUGCAGCUCGGAGCGAUCCUCGGAGGGGUGCGAUUCCCAUGU
ncrna:unclassified sequences pemK RNA